ACUCCUACGGGAGGCAGCAGUGGGGAAUAUUGCACAAUGGGGGAAACCCUGAUGCAGCCAUGCCGCGUGUGUGAAGAAGGCCUUCGGGUUGUAAAGCACUUUCAGUAGGGAGGAAGGUAGUGUAGUUAACACCUGCACUAUUUGACGUUACCUACAGAAGAAGCACCGGCUAACUCCGUGCCAGCAGCCGCGGUAAUACGGAGGAUCCAAGCGUUAUCCGGAAUCAUUGGGUUUAAAGGGUCCGUAGGUGGAUUGGUAAGUCAGAGGUGAAAGCCUGCAGCUCAACUGUAGAACUGCCUUUGAUACUGCUAGUCUUGAGUCGUUGUGAAGUGGUUAGAAUAUGUAGUGUAGCGGUGAAAUGCAUAGAUAUUACAUAGAAUACCAAUUGCGAAGGCAGAUCACUAACAACGUACUGACACUGAUGGACGAAAGCGUGGGGAGCGAACAGGAUUAGAUACCCUGGUAGCGAGU
rnacentral:rRNA from 1 species